UCCUUGCUGCUCUGAUUGAGAUUCCAGGUGCCAGUUCUGGGGAGGACAGGCUCUGUUCAGGACAUCAGCACCAACAGAGAUGUCUUUUAAAGAAGAAACUGUUGCUGAAGCUGUGGCGGCAGGAGGGUGUCUUGUGGAUGAAGAGGACAAUCCUGUAUGGUGGGUGAUGGAGUCAGCAGGUUGGGCAUCAAUAGUGGCACCUUCCUGCUGCCACAAAGAGUCUCUGUAGCAAGGUAGUUGUCUAGAGGUAACUGAAACUCUGUUGCCUUCACAUCAUAGAAUGGCUUGGGUUGGAAGAGACCUCAAGGAUCAUCAAGUUCCAACCCCCCCAUAUCCACACACCGUUGGCCCUGGUCACAGGUUUUUACUUGUUUGGUGGCACAAGAGAUGUGACGAAAAACCAGAGCUACAGAUUCCCUUUCCUCCCUGUUGGCAACACUGCUAUCCCAUCACAUGGGCAUUAUUUGCUGUCCUCUUUCCUUUCUGGCUGUUCCCCAUAACAGCACUGCCUGCUCUCUCAUGCUGUGUUUCCUCCUUUUCAGGACUCUCCAUGGGUUGCUCCAGGCCAAGUUCUCUGUCUUGCUUUACUCCUGGCCAUCUCGCUCACCUGCCACAGAGCUUGACUCUGGCUGGAUGCCUGACAUACCGCAUCUGUUUCAAUGUGCGACGCAAUUACCAGUUCAGUGUUUGUGGGUGCUCGCAGUGA
rnacentral:lncRNA from 1 species